CCCUUAGAUGUUCUGGGCUGCACGCGCGCUACACUGAUGCGUUCAACGAGUUUAUGACCUUGCCCGAUAGGGUUGGGUAAUCUUUUUAAAUCGCAUCGUGAUGGGGAUAGAUUAUUGCAAUUAUUAAUCUUCAACGAGGAAUUCCUAGUAAGCGCGAGUCAUCAGCUCGUGCUGAUUACGUCCCUGCCCUUUGUACACACCGCCCGUCGCUCCUACCGAUUGAAUGGUCCGGUGAAGCGUUCGGACCGUGGCCUUUGGACGGUUCGCCGUCUGUUGGCUGCGGGAAGUUCGUUAAACCUUNUNAUUUAGNGGAAGGAGAANUCGUANCA
rnacentral:rRNA from 1 species